rnacentral:lncRNA from 1 species
AGAAGCCCCCAUAGCUUGCUCAGCAGAGGGUGGGGGUAUGUAGGACUGAACUCUACCUGGGGGCAGCAAACUUAAAAAAGAGGCUCAUCCCAGGGACAGGCAAAGGGCCUGCUCACCCAGUAGGCAGGGCCGGAUACCUGCCUUUACCCCCAAACAGUCCACUGAGCCCAAAUCCAAAUUUCUUUCUGUAGCGUAUCUUUCCCAUUCUUUGAAAUCUGGGAGGGGGAGGGUCCUACUCAUCUCUUUGGGGGUAAAAGUCCUCCAAUAAAAUUUCCCCAUUUCCCCAAGGGUUUUUAUUUGUCUUAGUCUAUGCAUUUCUCUUUCUACGUCUCUAGUUCUCUCCUCCCACCCCACCCCAAACACACACAAAAUAGACAUCUCAUGUCCCACCCUCUGAGACCACCCUGCCUCAGAAGAAUGCCGGACAUUUGGGAGACAUGAGAAUGCAUUUUUUUAAAAAGCCUUCAAGCAUUUUGAGAGUAGCUUGUCAUAAGCUGACAGUGGGGAGGAAUCAGCUCCGUGACUUUCCUGAGUCCCUUCCCAUAGGACAAGAGACCUAGCUCUUUGCGUUUGUGCAAUAACUACUUGCUAGGAGAGCGGGUAGCACCACCCUCCUCUAGACUACUAACACACAGCACAAGACACAUGUCAGCCCUUCCUAAGCCCUUCCCCCCAUCAUGUGUUACAUUUUAGCAGUAUUUACUUUUUUUUUCUGUCAGGCACUAAGUCUUAGGUGUUUAUAGAGCUUGUGUGUUAAUACAAUCACAGAUCUUUUUAUUUUAUUUUAAUCCUCACCAAGACCCAAUUGACCAAAAAGAAGCAAGAGGAAGAAAAAAAAAUUGUAAAAGAUGUCUCUCUCCUUUUUUUUUUUUUUUUUGUUUUUGUUUUUGUUUUGUUUUGUACAAGUAGUUUUGAGAAGCCUUGUGUUGCUGUGACCAUCUCCUAUCACAGUCUUGAUUUUCUUGUGAUUUGUUUUCGGCAUUUAAAAGUUGGUCCCAGCUGGCGUGGGGGUGGGGGAGGCACCCGUCGGCCCCUCAGCGCCGUCCCUUGUCUUUGGUUAGCCAUACGAAAUGUUUGUUCUCUGCACUGUCCAACGGUCCCUAUUAUGAUACGGAGAAGCAAUAUCACCGAAGCUCACACCAUGUAUUAUUAUUCACUAGCACCCUAGGUGUGAUAAUUGAAGUAAAUAUCUUUUAUACAAAC